rnacentral:rRNA from 1 species
GACGAACGCUGGCGGCGUGCUUAACACAUGCACGUCGAACGGAAAGGCCCUGCUUGCAGGGUACUCGAGUGGCGAACGGGUGAGUAACCCGUGGGUGCUCUGCCCUGCACUUCGGGAUCAGCCUGGGAAACUGGGUCUAAUACCGGAUAGGAGCCACUGUUAGUGUGCUGGUUGGUAAGUUUUUUCGGUGUAGGUUGAGCUCGAGGCCUAUCAGCUUGUUGGUGGGGUAAUGGCCUAACAAGGCGGCGACGUGUAGCCGGCCGGAGAGGGUGGCGGGCCAUAGUGGGACUGAGACACGUCCAAGCCCCCUACAGGAGGCAGGAGUGGAGAAUAUUGACCAAUGAACGCAAGCCUGAUGCAGCGACGCCUCGAGGGGGAUGGCGGCCUUCGGGUUGAAAACGCCUAUAGCUAGGGACGAAGCGUUUUGUGACGGUACCUAGAGAAGAGGCCACGGCUAACUUCGUG